CAUGAACUACAUCGGCGGCACGAGCAGCGGCGGCGGCGGUUUGAACUUGGAUGUAUUGCAGCAGGUUAUGUGCAAAAGUUAGGGACGCAAGCAAAUGGAUUGGAGUGUUUUCCAGAUGCAUUGUGUUAAGAAGACACAAUUGAAGAGGAAAAGAGGGGAUCCCUUUUAGAUUAAGAAGAAGGGGAAAUUAUAGAAAUAUUACAGCUUGUUUGCACUUUGCGCUGUUUGACUGUUUUCUAUGAAAAAUCAAUAAAGGAUUCACAGUACAAUACUGA